GACGAACGCUGGCGGCGUGCUUAACACAUGCAAGUCGAACGGAAAGGCCCUGCUUUUGUGGGGUGCUCGAGUGGCGAACGGGUGAGUAACACGUGAGUAACCUGCCCUUGACUUUGGGAUAACUUCAGGAAACUGGGGCUAAUACCGGAUAGGAGCUCCUGCUGCAUGGUGGGGGUUGGAAAGUUUCGGCGGUUGGGGAUGGACUCGCGGCUUAUCAGCUUGUUGGUGGAGUAGUGGCUUACCAAGGCUUUGACGGGUAGCCGGCCUGAGAGGGUGACCGGCCACAUUGGGACUGAGAUACGGCCCAGACGCCUACGGGAGGCAGCAGUGGGGAAUAUUGCACAAUGGGCGGAAGCCUGAUGCAGCAACGCCGCGUGCGGGAUGACGGCCUUCGGGUUGUAAACCGCUUUCGCCUGUGACGAAGCGUGAGUGACGGUAAUGGGUAAAGAAGCACCGGCUAACUACGU
rnacentral:rRNA from 1 species